AGAAAAUAGAUACCCUGGUAGUCCAUGCCGUAAACGUUGGGAACUAGGUGUGGGUCUCAUUCCACGAGAUCCGUGCCGCAGCUAACGCAUUAAGUUCCCCGCCUGGGGAGUACGGCCGCAAGGCUAAAACUCAAAGGAAUUGACGGGGGCCCGCACAAGCGGCGGAGCAUGCGGAUUAAUUCGAUGCAACGCGAAGAACCUUACCAAGGCUUGACAUACACCGGAAACAUUCAGAGAUGGGUGCCCGCAAGGUCGGUGUACAGGUGGUGCAUGGUUGUCGUCAGCUCGCGUCGUGAGAUGUUGGGUUAAGUCCCGCAACGAGCGCAACCCUCGUUCUAUGUUGCCAGCACGUGAUGGUGGGGACUCAUAGGAGACUGCCGGGGUCAACUCGGAGGAGUGGGGAUGACGUCAAAUCAUCAUGCCCCUUAUGUCUUGGGCUUCACGCACGCUACAAUGGCCGG
rnacentral:rRNA from 1 species